GAUAAACGCUGGCGGCGUGCCUAACACAUGCAAGUCGAACGCUCUCACGCAAGUGAGGGAGUGGCGGACGGGUGAGUAACACAUGGGAAUCGACCCACACGUGAGGAAUACCACCGGGAAACCGGUGACAAUACCGCAUACGCUUCGCAAGAAGCAAAGCUCUCUUUCGGGAGGGCGCGCGUGGACGAGCCUGUGCCUGAUUAGUUAGUUGGUGGGGUAAAAGCCUACCAAGACUGCGAUCAGUCGCUGGUCUGAGAGGAUGAUCAGCCACACUGGG
rnacentral:rRNA from 1 species